UGCAUUGCUUUGGCGAAAUCAGCAUUUUUCUGCUUGCUGUACCGGUACAGCCACAUCGUGUACCGGUACGCAGUGCCAGAUACGUGGCAGUAAGGCUAUUUCGGUAAAUUCACAUCUUAUCUCUAUCCAUAUCACCCCAGCCCGACCCCUGGACCUUUGUGGAUGAUGCUAGAGCUCUGAGAAGCAGCCUUGCACCUCUCUUACUCUCUCACUCUAGAAGUUUUCUCUCUCUACAUAGAAAUCAACGAUUUAGCUCGAUUUCGUCGCCUCGCUUGUUCUUCGCUGCUUGCGAGUGGCGCUGAGCCCUUGUGGACGUGUGAGAGGGUAUUUUGGAAGGUUUUUCGCAGCACCAAACCAGUGGGUUGCUGGUUCGAAGCUUGGUGUGCUAAAGGAAAAGGGGAUUUGCUGCUGUAACAGGAUCAGAUAUUGUAGCUUAGCUCAGUUGAGACUGAGUUUAUGAUCUAAGAAGCAGGUUUUCGAAUUACAUUGAGCUUAAUUGGUGACCUUUGGGACUGGUUUAGAAGGUGUUCUAACCUG